rnacentral:lncRNA from 1 species
UUCCAAUCGAUUGGAUAAAAUGAAUGGAUUGCCGCCCCUAUUUCAAACUUAAGUCCUAUAAACUGACUGGUAUUCGAAUUUGUUAAAAGAAAUAAUUGGUAUCUCUAUUGAUUCAAUACCGUAAUGCCGAAAAACAAUCAUUUGUUUCCGCGAAUUCUGAACAGCUAGAAAUAUAUUCCCAAGUUUCAAUUUGAGUGACUCGAAUAAUUCAAGCCCUUUCCAGGUCCGAUUUUCUCCCACACGACUGAGAAAUGUAGCAUUCGUACAUCAGCUGAAUAAUACGGCUGAAUUAUUCGGGUUACAAUUUGUGUAAAUCCCGAAUGCACAUAAAAGUAAAGGUCCAGCCCGACUUUCGGAAAUGUACUGUUGUAGAUUUCAGAUUGAUUUCCAGAAAUAAAAAUCAUACAAAAAUGUUUCACGCAAAUAUUCUUCUUCAGACGUGUAAAGUUAGUUAUACAACGGUUACUAGCCGGUCUGGAUUGUGAUAAAAAGAAGCGCAUGCAAUGCAUAAAAUAUAUAAUGUCGUGCCUCAGGGAUGUGUUGAAUUAUAGAGAUGCUUUAUGCGGCACAAAGAUAAGAUUAAUUUACCCAAAUGUACUAAGAAUUACCACGCAACUUAAAUUUACUUAACUAUUGGUUUGUUAUCCUGUGCCAGACAGAUGGCUGAUAUUCUGAGAAGAGACUUUGAUGAAAUGAAGUUUUAUGGGAACAAAGAUUUUGAAAACACGUCACAGUGUUUAGAUUUUAACAAAAAAUAAGGCACCAAGGUCGAAAAUAGUUCUAGUUCGUAAUGAAGAAAAUGUCAACCGUUUUCUAGCUUGGAGAUCUCCGCACGCACCCGAAUAUAAUAGACAAAUACAAUACAAUAGGACACAAAACGUAACAUAAAGAACUAAAGACCGAGCAACACGAACUCCAACAAAACGGUAUACAUUUCAUACAAGUAUAGGACUAUAUGAAGCGUCGUAACUGUUACGGAGACUUCAAUAACGUUGUCGUUGUUUUUUGUUUUUUUAAACUCAAGAUUCAACUUUAACAGGGUAUAGCUUGAAAAGUAGCACGGUUGCUAAGGACUUUCUUUGCACCAAUCGAUUCCUCAGACAUUUUAGAAUCGUCUCAUAAAUUUUUAAAAAAAUCGAUUGUCUAAAAUUAUAGAAAAUCUUGGAAAUGUAACAAUUCCUGCCGAAUUUCACGAUUUCCCUAUAUAUCCUUUGUAAUUUUGGUGUAUGAUGCUGUUAACUUCAACAGCUCGUAUCUCAAAAACGAAAACGGUUACCCCC